rnacentral:misc_RNA from 1 species
GAUGAAGAACGUAGCGAAAUGCGAUAAGUAAUGCGAAUUGCAGAAUUCAGUGAAUCAUCGAAUCUUUGAACGCACAUUGCGCCCGCUAGUAUUCUGGCGGGCAUGCCUGUCUGAGCGUCAUUUCAAACCUCGCCCCCGGCUUUUGCUGGGAGCGGUGUUGGGGAUCGGCCGCCCGUCACUGGGAGGCCGGCCCCGAAAUAGAGUGGCGACCACGCCGUGUGCUCCUCUGCGUAGUAGUAAAUCACCUCGCAGGCGGACAGCGGUGCGGCCUGCCGUAAAACCCCCAACUCUUUCUGGUUGACCUCAGAUCAGGUAGGAAUACCCGCUGAACUUAAGCAUAUCAAUAAGCGGAGA